AGUAGCCACGGUAAUUCCAGCUCCAAUAGCGUAUAUUAAAGUUGUUGCAGUUAAAAAGCUCGUAGUUAAAUUUUGGGAUCGAUACGUCAGUCAUGCUUAUUAGUACGUACUGUCGUCAUCGAUUUCUCCCUUCUGACGAACUAUGAUGUCAUUAAUUUGGUGUUAUAGAAAAUCAGGACUGUUACUUUGAAAAAAUUAGAGUGUUUAAAGCAGGCAUUAGCUUGAAUACAUUAGCAUGGAAUAAUGAAAUAGGAUGUUUGAACCUAUUUUGUUGGUUUUUAGGAUCAACAUAAUGAUUAAUAGGGAUAGUUAAAGGCAUUAGUAUUCAAUUGUUAGAGGUGAAAUUCUUGGAUUUAUUGAAGACUAACUACUGCGAAAGCAUUUGCUAAGGAUGUUUUCAUUAAUCAAGAACGAAAGUUAGAGGAUCGAAGACGAUCAGAUACCAUCGUAGUCUUAACCAUAAACUAUGCUGACUAGGGAUCGGAUGAUGUUAAUUUUUUAAUGACUCAUUUGGCGCCUUACG
rnacentral:rRNA from 1 species